rnacentral:rRNA from 12 species
AAAUUGAAGAGUUUGAUCAUGGCUCAGAUUGAACGCUGGCGGCAGGCCUAACACAUGCAAGUCGAACGGUAACAGGAAGCAGCUUGCUGCUUUGCUGACGAGUGGCGGACGGGUGAGUAAUGUCUGGGAAACUGCCUGAUGGAGGGGGAUAACUACUGGAAACGGUGGCUAAUACCGCAU